rnacentral:rRNA from 1 species
UAGGGAAUCUUCGGCAAUGGGGGGAACCCUGACCGAGCAACGCCGCGUGAGUGAAGAAGGUUUUCGGAUCGUAAAGCUCUGUUGUUAAGGAAGAACGAGUGUGAGAAUGGAAAGUUCAUACUGUGACGGUACUUAACCAGAAAGGGACGGCUAACUACGUGCCAGCAGCCGCGGUAAUACGUAGGUGGCAAGCGUUGUCCGGAUUUAUUGGGCGUAAAGCGAGCGCAGGCGGUCAAUUAAGUCUGAUGUGAAAGCCCCCGGCUCAACCGGGGAGGGUCAUUGGAAACUGGUUGACUUGAGUGCAGAAGAGGAGAGUGGAAUUCCAUGUGUAGCGGUGAAAUGCGUAGAUAUAUGGAGGAACACCAGUGGCGAAGGCGACUCUCUGGUCUGUAACUGACGCUGAGGCUCGAAAGCGUGGGGAGCGAACAGG